CUGAUGGCGACCGGCGUACGGGUGAGUAACGCGUAUCCAACCUGCCCUUUACUAUGGGACAGCCCGUCGAAAGGCGGAUUAAUACCGUAUGUUGUCAUGUUGAUGCAUAUUUCCAUGACCAAAGGCUUCGGCCGGUAAAGGAUGGGGAUGCGUCUGAUUAGCUUGCCGGCGGGGUAACGGCCCACCGGGGCGACGAUCAGUAGGGGUUCUGAGAGGAAGGUCCCCCACAUUGGAACUGAGACACGGUCCAAACUCCUACGGGAGGCAGCAG
rnacentral:rRNA from 1 species